rnacentral:rRNA from 2 species
GGGAAAGUUGAAAAGCACUUUGAAAAGAGAGUGCAAGAGAACGUGAAAACGAUGCAAUGGAAGCGAAUGAAGUUGACGUAUCUAAUGCGUAUUCAGUUGUUGGGCUUGAUGAUCUCUUCUCUUGGUAUUCCGUAAGGUUGCCACAGUGGAGUUGUUGUUAGGUUCAACAAUGCACUUACGUAUAGAGUGCAGUGAGUCGGUUGGUGCUAUUGGUAGAAGCUGUUCUAGAGGGCGUACUUCGGUGCGUGUCCUGGUUCAGUGGAUGGCCAAUUGGUGCUGGCUGGGUUAUGUGAAGCGGUGGCAUACGUGCCGUUUUCAGUCGUUCUGGUGAUCUUGUGUUUAUACGCUUGCGUACAGCAUCUGAUUGCCUUGACGAUGGGAUUCGGUUCGCUCCGUCUUCAUUCACUGUAUAGUCGAUCACUCAUUCGACCCGUCUUGAAACACGGACCAAGGAGUUUAUAGUAUACGCGAGUCAUUGAGUACUGAACGAAGCUCAAAGGCGUAAUGAAAGUGAUAACUGUUAACGUUAAGGUUAGGAUCAGGAGUAUGGAUGUAACAGUCCGCUUCUGCGCACUAACUUCCCAUUCCUAGGACUUGUCCUGGUGUGGAGAAUGAGCGUAUACAAUGAGACCCGAAAGAUGGUGAACUAUGCCUGAACAGGAUGAAGCCAGAGGAAACUCUGGUGGAAGUCCGAA